UACGGGGGGGGCAAGCGUUGUUCGGAAUUACUGGGCGUAAAGGGCUCGUAGGCGGCCAACUAAGUCGGAUGUGAAAUCCCCAGGCUCAACUUGGGAACUGCAUCCGAUACUGGAUGGCUUGAAUUCGGGAGAGGGAUGCAGAAUUCCAGGUGUAGCGGUGAAAUGCGUAGAUAUCUGGAGGAAUACCGGUGGCGAAGGCGGCUUGCUGGGCCAGUUCUGACGCUGAGGAGCGAAAGCGUGGGGAGCGAACAGG
rnacentral:rRNA from 1 species